rnacentral:rRNA from 1 species
UGUAGUUUAUUUGAUAGUACCCUGCUACUCGGAUAACCGUUGCAAAUCAAGGGAUAAUACGUGCGAAAAUGCUCAUUACGAGCUGUGCUUAUUCGAUCAAAAGCCAAUGUCUUAGGACACAAGGUGAAUCAGAAUAAUCUCGCGAAUCGCAUGCCCUAGUGGCGGCGAUGAAUCAUUCAAACUUCUGCCCUAUCAACUUGACACAUGGGUAGUGUCCAUGUGUGGUUGCGACGGGUACGGGGAAUUUGGGUUCGAUUCCGGAGAAGGAGCCUGAGAGACGGCUGCUACA